rnacentral:misc_RNA from 1 species
AGCGUAUGUGUGGAAGGGAGAGACAGAGGCACCGAUUCUUCGACUUGUGCAACUUUUUUUUUGUUGUGCUCUGGUUGCUCAUACCUCGGUCCUUUUCCUUUUUCUUUUCGCGCUCUGACCUCCCCCCAUCCCCUUCCUCUCAUGUCUCUCGCUGUGUGUGUGUUGGAAAAGGUGGGCCGCAGAAGCUCGAGCGCGGGAAAAAGAAUUCGGGAGCUCGAAAAGGGGAGUGGAGAGGCGGGGGUGCGGUGGGGAAGCAAAAGCAUCAAAAGAAAUGAAGGGAAACUCAAAGCCAAACAAAAACAAAAAAAAAGCAAGCAAGUGUCUGCGCUUCUUCUCUGCCUGUAUGCCAUGUUUGUUUACAGCUCAUCGCGCCUUCGGCUGCGCACGUUCGUUUUCAUCAUUUUUUUUCGGUGCCUCCGGUGCGUUGGCUUGAAGCAUCCUUGCCUCCGCCUUACGUGGAAGAAGUUGUGGUCGCAAAUACUCAACAUACACGCAUAAACACACAGUUAUGCACGUAGACGAGGUUCAGAGUAUGUAAAAAGAUGAAUUUACUUCAUGCUGUGAGAGAAGGCAAGAAAAAACGUUUUUGGGCGGCUGGCCACGGAAUGCACAGCUGAAGAGAGGUGAGAAAAUAGGACAAGGACGACGAAUGGAGAACAGGCCUGCACAUGAACGUAAAAAAAAGUAGGAAGUGAUUCAAUGCUCCCCCUAAAAAAAAACGGAAAAAAAAACAGAAGAGAGGCGUUAUAAUCAAGGUGGAGGCGGCAAUGCUGCCUCCUCCUUGGCUACUCUGUUUUCUGCUUUCUUGCGUUGAUGUGAAUUUUGCGUGUAUCACACCUUCUUCAUUCUGCCGAUUACCCCCGAUUUCUGCUCCUGUUCGCUCUCUUUUCUCUCCCCACCCCGCCUUUUCCUCUCCUUUCAAUAGCCAUAUGUGGUGCUAUAUGCUCGUGCUUUAUUUUUUUUUCUAUUUGCUCCCCUCUCUUUUUUUUGCUGAGCGCUAGUAAUCCCCUCUCCCUCUUUCAGGCUUCGCUCGCUCUCUCUUCAUUGCCUGGGUAGCAAACCCACACACACACACACACACGCGUAAACAGACGUGUGCGUGUGUGCUACCCGAGUUUUUUUUUCGCUUGUCAUCGUCAUUUGCUCUUCAGAUGGGGGUAGGGAAGGGACAAGACGGCCACAUGAGCAUGUCUGCUUGCUUGUUUCCGCUCGAAGAAGCUGCACCUUCCUCUUCCCGCCGCCGACUUCUUUUCCACUUACUGAAGACCAAGGCGCACGCAUACUCAAACACGGAACCCUCUCCCCUGCAAAAUGAAGAAUGGACGACGUAGAACGAAAGAAAACGGAAAAGGAGCGAAUCGGGUGAUUCAUGCCAUAAGUCAGAUCGAAAAGAGUAACAUGCAAGCACAUAAAUGCCCUCCCCACUUUUUCCUUCCCCCCGUUCGCGCAACUGCUGUGUCGCGAGAUACGGGAAAAAGGGGUGGGCUCGAGGUCGUAGAAAACAAGAACGAAGACGUGUGCGUGUUCCCUC